CCACUACAAACUGCGCCAACGGGCUAGUCAAUGUACUGGAUGAGCAUUAAAGGUUCGACGUUCAACGACGAGAGUGCUCUCCGCCGGGUUUUUUUGGUUAACCGUUCCUGCCACCUCCAGUCGAUAGCGGAUUCUUGCCACAUGAAUCCCGGGAUCACCAUCUGCACGGCGAGACGCAGGAGAAUACCUGAACCGACUACUUUGGAA
rnacentral:misc_RNA from 1 species